UUACAUCCUACAAUCUUUUUGGCGUCUGC
rnacentral:sRNA from 1 species